GUUUCAGCAGCCGCGGUAAUACGGAGGGGGCUAGCGUUGUUCGGAAUCACUGGGCGUAAAGCGUACGUAGGCGGCCAUUCAAGUCAGAGGUGAAAGCCCAGGGCUCAACCCUGGAACUGCCUUUGAAACUAGAUGGCUGGAACACGGGAGAGGUGAGUGGAAUUCCGAGUGUAGAGGUGAAAUUCGUAGAUAUUCGGAAGAACACCAGUGGCGAAGGCGGCUCACUGGACCGUUGUUGACGCUGAGGUACGAAAGCGUGGGGAGCAAACAGGAUUAGAAACCCCCGUAGUCC
rnacentral:rRNA from 1 species